rnacentral:misc_RNA from 1 species
GUGUUAAGGUUUUUAUCAACGCUUUUCAAAGCGAGGAUAUCAGUUCACAUUCUGAGACAUACAAUAGGGUCGAUGAUAAGACGUAGGGGCCCCCAUGACAGGGGCCCUUACAUUAGGUUCACAGGUGUGUGUGGAUUAAGGGGCUCAGGUGUGCACAUGCCCCGAGAGGCCAGCUACAACCCUCACCUAUAAUUUCGAUAAUGAUCCUUCCGCAGGUUCACCUACGGAAA